CAGCCGCCGCGGUAAUACGGAGGGUGCGAGCGUUGUCCGGAUUUAUUGGGUUUAAAGGGUGCGUAGGCGGCCCGUUAAGUCCGGGGUGAAAGCCCGCUGCUCAACAGCGGAACUGCCCUGGAUACUGACGGGCUUGAGUACAGACGAGGUUGGCGGAAUGGACUGAGUAGCGGUGAAAUGCAUAGAUACAGUCCAGAACCCCGAUUGCGAAGGCAGCUGACUAGGCUGUUACUGACGCUGAGGCACGAAAGCGUGGGGAGCGAACAGGAUUAGAUACCCGCGUAGUCCCUGUCUCUUAUAU
rnacentral:rRNA from 1 species